rnacentral:rRNA from 1 species
UACGAAGGGUGCAAGCGUUACUCGGAAUUACUGGGCGUAAAGCGUGCGUAGGUGGCUUGUUAAGUCAGGGGUGAAAGUUUUCGGCUCAACCGGAAAAUUGCCUUUGAUACUGGCGAGCUUGAGUGCGUGAGGGGUAACCGGAACGAGCAGUGUAGCGGUGAGAUGCGUAGAUAUUGCUCGGAAGGCCAACGGCGAAGGCAGGUUACUGGUACGCAACUGACACUGAGGCACGAAAGCGUGGGGAGCAAACAGG